AUAAAAAAAUAAUAAUAAAAAUAAUUUUUAAAAAAGUAUUUCAAUAUUUUAUGAAUUUCUAGAAGUCUGGAAGUCACUCUUUUAAAAUUCCCUCAUAUAUCCAGGGUUUUGGAAAUCUGAAAUAAAAAUGAGGGAACAAAUUCAAAACCUCUAUGACGUGGAUUUGGAGUAUUUUGAUCUCGCUCUGAGCUCGAUUCUGCUUGUGUCUGUGUUCUCAGUUCCUCCCAGAGACGUGUGGGUUCAGGUGGUGAGCGCGGCGGUGCGUCUCGGAGGAAACGCUCUGCUCCUCUGCUCCUGUAAGGCAGACCCGCCGGUCUCGGAGUACCAGUGGUGGAGCGUCGAGUCCGGAAACACGCGGAUCCUGUCCAAACGCACGCACACCGUCCGCGUCUAUAACGUCAGCCGAGACACGCGCGUCCAGUGCAGCGCUGCAAACCGCCUGGGACGCGCCUCGUCCCGCCCGACGCCCCUCAACGCGCAGUACGCGCCGCUGAUUCUGUCUCGCUCGUCCUGUGACUGGGACGGGACGCUGCUGUCCUGCUCUUGUUUCGUGGACUCGAACCCUCGUCCCGCCGUCACCUGGAGUGUGAACGGGUCUCACCUGCCGGAUGGCUUUAACACCUCGUCUUCUUCUUAUGUUAACCACACGCUGACGGCGACGCUCCACGGAAUCUCAGACGUGCCGCUGCGGGUCGAGUGUCAUGCUGUCAGCGCUCUGGGAAACCACUCGCACCUGCUCUAUGAGCCUCACGAGGGUACGAUACACUAACAGCUACUCACCAGUCUGCUGGUUUUUUUUAUCAUUUAUGAUAUUUAUAACAUUCGUUUAUAAUAUUUACAUAAAUGUUUAAAUAUUUAAAGAAAAGGU
ensembl:lncRNA